rnacentral:rRNA from 1 species
UACGUAGGGUGCAAGCGUUGUCCGGAAUUAUUGGGCGUAAAGAGCUUGUAGGCGGUUUGUCGCGUCUGCUGUGAAAUCUCAAGGCUCAACCUUGAGCUUGCAGUGGGUACGGGCAGACUAGAGUGUGGUAGGGGAGACUGGAAUUCCUGGUGUAGCGGUGGAAUGCGCAGAUAUCAGGAGGAACACCGAUGGCGAAGGCAGCUCGCUGGGACGGUGACUGA